rnacentral:rRNA from 1 species
CAGUCGCCACGGUAAUACGAAGGGUGCAAGCGUUAAUCGGAAUUACUGGCGUAAAGCGUGCGUAGGCGGUGAGUUAAGUCUGCUGUGAAAUCCCCGGGCUCAACCUGGGAAUGGCAGUGGAUACUGGCUCGCUAGAGUGUGUCAGAGGAUGGUGGAAUUCCCGGUGUAGCGGUGAAAUGCGUAGAGAUCGGGAGGAACAUCAGUGGCGAAGGCGGCCAUCUGGGACAACACUGACGCUGAGGCACGAAAGCGUGGGGAGCAAACAGGAUUAGAUACCCCGGUAGUCCCUGUCUCUUAUACC